rnacentral:rRNA from 1 species
UUGAAUGGUUAAUUUUUUUUUUUUAUUUUUUUUCUUUUUAGUAUUUUAAUUAAAUAAUUUUUUUUUUUACUGAGAAGGUUUUUAUUUUAUAAUUAAAGAAUUAUUAAUAGUACCUUUUGUAUCAGGGUAAUUUAAUUUAUAAAUUUAUUUUUUUUUCCCGAAAUUUAAUUAUUUAAGUAUAUAUUUUUAUAACUGUUGAAUAAUUUUUACAAAUUUAUAUUUAAUAAUUAAAAGUUAUUUGAAUUUUUAUAUAUCUGGUUAUUAAGGAUUAAGUUUAAUUUUGGAUUUAAGUUUUUAUAAAUUAUAAUUUUUUAAUUCUUAUAUUAAUUUGGAUAAUCUAAUUAAUUUUUUAAAAUUUUAUUAUAAAAAGAUUUUUUUUAAGUUUAAUAUUUUCUAUUUAGUUUGUAAUAUUUUAUUUUUAUUUAAUAAAUUUUUUUCUUAUUUAAAUUUUUACUUAAUUUUUUUAAUUAAUUUUAUUUUAAUAAAAAUAAUGAGUUAAUUAGUAUUUUUUGUACUUUUAGUUUUAUUAAUUAGACAAAUUUAGCUUCCAACUGUUUAUUAAAAACAUUUCUUUAAGAAGUAUAUUUAAAGUAAUUUCUGCCCUAUGAUUUUUAAAUGGCUGCAGUAUAUUGACUGUACAAAGGUAGCAUAAUAAUUUGGUUUUUAAUUGGAAUCUUGUAUGAAAGAAUACAUGAGGGGCUUGUUUUAUUAAUUAAAAUAUUAAAAUUUAAUUUUUUAGUAAAAAAGCUAAAUUUUUUUUCAGGGACGAUAAGACCCUAUAGAAUUUAAAUUUUAAUUAUUUUUAUUAAAUAUUUUUUUUAUUAAAUAUUAUUUAAAAUUUUAGUUGGGGUGAUAAAUAAAUUUAAUCUUUAUUUUUUUUAUUCAUUAUUAUGUUUUGUUGAUCCAUUUUAAUGAUUAAAAGAUAAAAUUACCUUAGGGAUAACAGCGUAAUUUUUAUUAGGAGUUCUUAUCUAUAUAAAUGUUUUCGACCUCGAUGUUGAAUUAAGUUAAUGUUUUGGUGCAAAAGCUAGAAUAAAUAAGUCUGUUCGACUUUUAAAAACUUACAUGAUUUGAGUUUAAACCGGUGUGAGCCAGGUUGGUUUCUAUCUUGAAAUUUUAAUUUUCUUUUAGUACGAAAGGACCAAAGAAUAGUAUUUAAAUAUUAAAUAUUUUUUAA